rnacentral:rRNA from 1 species
GACGAACGCUGGCGGCGUGCCUAAUACAUGCAAGUAGAACGCUGAAGGAGGAGCUUGCUUCUCUGGAUGAGUUGCGAACGGGUGAGUAACGCGUAGGUAACCUGCCUGGUAGCGGGGGAUAACUAUUGGAAACGAUAGCUAAUACCGCAUAAGAGUAGAUGUUGCAUGACAUUUGCUUAAAAGGUGCAAUUGCAUCACUACCAGAUGGACCUGCGUUGUAUUAGCUAGUUGGUGGGGUAACGGCUCACCAAGGCGACGAUACAUAGCCGACCUGAGAGGGUGAUCGGCCACACUGGGACUGAGACACGGCCCAGACUCCUACGGGAGGCAGCAGUAGGGAAUCUUCGGCAAUGGACGGAGGUCUGACCGAGCAACGCCGCGUGAGUGAAGAAGGUUUUCGGAUCGUAAAGCUCUGUUGUAAGAGAAGAACGAGUGUGAGAGUGGAAAGUUCACACUGUGACGGUAUCUGACCAGAAAGGGACGGCUAACUACGUG